GGAAAAAUGAAGUUCACUGUGGACCGAAGGAGAUCGAGGGCAUCGAGUCCGUGAGACGGAUGUUGGAGCUUGUACUUGUUCUGAUUGUAAGCUGGUAAUUUUCCACGAGCCACGAAGGGGAGUGGUUGUUCAGAGUCAGGGUCCCACGCUGCUGUAAUCUUUGGCGAUAAGUGAGAUGUGGUGUAAAUGAAUUGUAGUUGUCAUAUCUACCUGCCUGAGAGUAAAGUCAGUGCCACAACACAGGCCAUCCUGCUUUCCAGGAAUCACAGGUGAAAUUCUCUGAACCCCAAGAAGGUUGAUGUUCCAGGUUUUUUUUUUUUUUUUUAAUAAAUGAACAAAGAGUGGGUGCAUCUUAAACUCUUUUAGAUAAUCCUUCAGAAAUUGUCACCUGACUAGUAUGAGCUGAAUAAUGUUGUCCAUUUGUAUGUCAUUGCUUUUGUUUUGUUAAAAUGUUUUUGCACAGAUCAUAAUUUCAGAGACAUAUUUGUGCGAAUUGAAAUCCCCAAAUUAAGCAUGGUAACUGCUUUAAAACAGCAAUCAGCAAAUGUUCUCUUAUUUUAGAACUGAUGUUCCUCAGGCUAUGACUUCACUCUGUGUAACAGAAAACUUGCCAUGCUUCCUUUCUUUGUUGUCUCAGCUGUUUUGAAUUAUUUUGAGAAAUACAAUAAACCAUUGAAACUUC